AUUGAACGCUGGCGGCAUGCCUAACACAUGCAAGUCGAGCGGAGCUUCUGACGGGUGAGUAAUGCCUAGGAAUCAGCCUGUUAGUGACGGAUAACGUCCGGAAACGUGAGCUAUUACCGCAUACUAUCAAAUGAGCCUCGUGCGGAUUUGCUAGGUGGUGGGGUAAAGGCCUACCAAGGCGACGAUCCGUAACUGGUCUGAGAGGGUGAUCCGUCACACUGGGACGGAGACACGGUCCAGACUCCUACGGGAGGCAGCAGUGGGGAAUAUUGGACAAUGGGCGAAAGCCUGAUCCAGCCAUGCCGCGUGUGUGAAGAAGGUCUUCGGAUUGUAAAGCACUUUAAGUUGGGAGGCGUUACCAACAGAGUAAGCACCGGCUAACUUCGUGCCAGCAGCCGCGGUAAUUC
rnacentral:rRNA from 1 species